rnacentral:lncRNA from 1 species
UUAUUGAGCAUGUCGCCAGGAUGGAAGGCAAGCAGGUAGGGCCAGGAAAAGUAGACGACGGUAAAGAAAAAGGCAAAGAAGCCGGUAAAAGGGAGACAGGUCAAAGCAACACAAUGCAUCGCAUCACAACCGAAUGCAACACGUAGCAAGUGAGGGCAGGCGUAGAGACCGUCAUCGUAAAAGGCCGCAUUAGGAACGCGUGGGCCGUGUUGUUUGCCGCCAACACCAAGUUAGUGCCCAUCGGUGCUGUCUGUACAGCCAUCCCGCAAGGUUGGCUUUUUUCCGGCAUUUUAUCAGCCGACAUGUGAGGAUAGCCUUCCGCGUUUGAUAGCCCACUCGGAAUUCCCCGCCGCUGUAUCCUUCCGCACGCAACCCUAAUACAUCCCUAAUACUGUCUCAGCCAUCUAGCUAUAUAAGUUCUGGCGGCAGUAUGUCUAAAUCUCCGGGCCGCCUACAACAGGAAGCAGCGCCACGAACAAAUGCACGUCACAACUUUGCACCACCAACACGGAGUAUAUACAGUCCCCAGCCCCAGGUCCAUUCCUCGCCGCCAGCCUACCAGAAGCUGGCUGACGUAAGCAAUGAUAGGCUGUGAAUGGCGGGUAGUUGAAUCCAGCUGGUGAAGGCGAUUUGCAGUGGCACGUCAACAGCCAUAUACAAGACCAGCACCAGGGUAUAGAAGGACCAACUGCGGCAACCCAGGCGUUUAGCACGGCAUCCGUAGAUCGAUUCCCGUGAAAAGCCGAUCCGCAAUAAGGCCCAUCCGCGCGGUACGCGGAAACAAGCGAGCAGGCGGAUGGUGUGACACGCGGGCAGGCGGGCAGACGAAGGCACACAGGGCCGAGCCAUAAGGUAAUAAGCUUGGGGAGAAAUUUACCGGGCGCAGGAUAAAAAGUAUUUGGCGUGUUUAUAUUUGGCAGACGAGUCGUACGGCAGGUGGGCGGGCAGGCAAGAGCAGCAGCAGUCAGAAGAGGCGGCACAGUGGAUACAGGUGCGCGCACAUGCGGCGUACUUAAGGCCCCAACCUAAAUCAAGUCCCGUAGCGGUGGCGCAGUGUGCCCUUUCUCAUUCGCCUUCAACCCCUUCUGCUAAGAUCGGCAGGCGACCUGGCAGGUUGAAACUUGGUAAGAUCUUCAUGCUACACCAUACCCCCCCAAGCCCACCAUUUCCUCUGGGGGCUGUCCGGCACCAUAACAGGCAGUAGAGUAUCCAGGAGCCAUGAUGGAAAGCUGAUGACGAAUCCCACAGCGCGUAAUGGCCAGCUUUCAAAACUGAAAGGCUGC